AGGUAAUAGAUACCCAGGUAGUCCUGGCCCUAAACGAUGGGUACUAGGUUGUGGGCCUGACAUGGGCUCCCAGCCGGAGCAAAAAAGUGCUAAGUACCCCGCCUGGGGAGUAUGGCCGCAAGGCUGAAACUCAAAGGAAUUGACGGGGGCUCACACAAGCGGUGGAGCAUGUGGCUUAAUUCGAGGCUACGCGAAGAACCUUAUCCUGGACUUGACAUGUGCGAAAGCGCUAGGAAGUAGGGGGCGAAACGUCUUCCCAACGGUAUCCAGUCCGGAACCUAGCACAGGUGCUGCAUGGCUGUCGUCAGCCCGUGUCGUGAGAUGUU
rnacentral:rRNA from 1 species